UUUCUCUCCCACCUGAGGAUUCAGCCCUGCCUGGGGCGCAGAAGUCAACUAAACCUCAAGAGAGCGCUGCUCUAAGUUGGUGGUUCCUGAAGUAGGAUCUCUGGAUGAGCGGCAUUAGCAUCGCCUGAAAACUCGUUACAAAUGCAAACUCUCGGGUGCUAUCCGGAACGGCUGCAUCAGAAACUCUGGAGAUGGAGUCCUCCAGGAAAAGCAAGGAGGCCAGUGUGGCUGGUGCCAAGCAAACAAGGAGAAGAGGGUGGAGAAGCUAUGGGGAGCACAUCACCCACAGUCUCAUCAGACUUUCC